rnacentral:lncRNA from 1 species
AUAAGCAUAAGCACAUGUUUUACAAUAUUUUAUGGUUGUAUCUAGAAAAGGAGCAAUAUUGAAAUCUUAAAUAUCUAAAAGUUGAAAGGUACAUGACCCAGUAUAAACACUUGAUAUAUUUUAUGAUCUUAAUAUUAAUGAAUAUAUUUUUUCAUAAACAAUAAAGGUGAGCAUUUGUAUAGAAAGCACGUAAGAUUGUCGAAAAUAUUCUUGACGUCAUAAAAUCUUCAAUUUCAAACUAGUCUAAUUGAUUCUUUUAAUUUCAUGAAGUUGGUACAAAAAUGUCCGUUUGAACGAUAUAAGAUAAUAAUGUUAUCACCUAAUGUUGAAAACUCUAUUGAGCUACUUGUUUAUUUUGAACGUGGCCAUCUGUUUUAUGAUCAUGUCACCUACUGUUGUAAUCUCUAUCUAGCUACUUGUUUUAUUUGAACUUGGUAUUCUCGUAUUAUAAUGUGGUGUCACCUCCUGUUGAAAUGUCUAUUGAGCUACUGUUUGUUUUUUUUAUACAUGGCCUUUUGUCUUAUAAUGUUGUCACCUUCUGUUGAAAUCUCUUAGUCUAGCUACUUUGUUUUUUUUUAACUUGGCCAUCCGUCUUAUAAUGUUGUCUAUUGAGCUACUUGCUUAUUUUGAACUGUUAGCAACAUCUUCAAUCGUCUCCAUGUAUCAUUUAAAUCUUCUUCCUCUUUCGGCCAUUGUACAACAUAGGCAUAAUUCCAAAUGUACGAAAACUCAUAGGGAAUAUCAGUUACUAUGAUAUCUUUUGUUAUUACAAUAAUUUUGUCUAGAUUUUUUGUUACUUCUUCAUAUUUUGCUCUGUCGAAUUCAAACAAGCAAUCACGUGACGAUUUGAACUCAGGAGUGAUGAGGAAAAUAAUAUACCUACUGUUUUUGAUACAUUCAGCCUCAUUAUCCAACAGACUCUGACCAAUU